rnacentral:rRNA from 1 species
CGUUGUCCGGAUUAUUGGGCGUAAAGAGCUCGUAGGCGGCUGGUCGCGUCUGUCGUGAAAACUUCCGGCUCAACCGGGGGCUUGCGGUGGGUACGGGCCGGCUAGAGUGCGGUAGGGGUAACUGGAACUCCUGGUGUAGCGGUGGAAUGCGCAGAUAUCAGGAAGAACACCGAUGGCGAAGGCAGGUUACUGGGCCGUUACUGACGCUGAGGAGCGAAAGCGUGGGGAGCGAACAGGAUUAGAUACCCUGGUAGUCCACGCCGUAAACGUUGGGCACUAGGUGUGAGGCUCCUUUCCGGGGGUUUUGCGCCGUAGCUAACGCAUUAAGUGCCCCGCCUGGGGAGUACGGCCGCAAGGCUAAAACUCAAAGRAAUUGACGGGGGCCCGCACAAGCGGCGGAGCAUGCGGAUUAAUUCGAUGCAACGCGAAGAACCUUACCAAGGCUUGACAUAUACUGGACCGCAUCAGAGAUGGUGUUUCCCUUCGGGGCUGGUAUACAGGUGGUGCAUGGUUGUCGUCAGCUCGUGUCGUGA